rnacentral:rRNA from 1 species
UACGAAGGGGGCUAGCGUUGCUCGGAAUGACUGGGCGUAAAGGGCGCGUAGGCGGAUGUUAUAGUCAGGCGUGAAAUUCCUGGGCUCAACCUGGGGGCUGCGUUUGAUACGUGAUGUCUGGAGUUCGGAAGAGGGUCGUGGAAUUCCCAGUGUAGAGGUGAAAUGCGUAGAGAUUGGGAAGAACACCGGUGGCGAAGGCGGCGACCUGGUCCUGGACUGACGCUGAGGCGCGAAAGCGUGGGGAGCAAACGGG